GGUAUUUGAAAUCCAGAACCACACUCUCGUCAGUUUAGGGAACAAGGCCUCUCUUUUUUCCCCUAAGGACUCAACUUGAAAUUCUGAUUCUGGUAUAUGCUUGUCGAUAUAAAAGUGAAGUUUUAACCAGCAAAAAGAACUUUUCAUUGGAAUAUGUUCAUACCUGGAGAACAGCGGGAUGUUACAAGAUUACAAGGACCUGAUUUACCUCAGAAGAUAUCCUGCCCUCAUGUUUCCCUCAGAGCUUCACCCACACACGUUGUAGAGAGAGACUGGGCCUUUGUGGAAAUUCAGCAGAUAUUGUGCUAUCGCCACCAGACUAUCUGAAAUUGAGUAAGGUUUAAGAACAUCCUACACAGAAGCAGGAAGAAAAUGACACUGUUUGAAUACUUUCUGCUCUGCUUCUCAUCAUCUGUUAAGCAAUAGACUUGGCUCCGGGCUGCACCGUCUGUAAUGAAACCUGGUGUCUCCAAGGUCCAUCCGAUGCAGUCAGCAGUAGGAAGCCUGUUUCCUGUACUGCACAUUGUAAUUAGGCUUCAAGCUAUUUCAGAUGCUAUGAUGGUACAAUUUAUUUUUUGACUGCGCCAACUCCGGGGAUGGGCAGGGAGUAAAUACAGCUGGACUGCAUACAACUGGUGAAGAGCAAGAGGGCUGAAACCCUUCAUUGCAUUGUUCUUGCAUUCAGACAAUCUGUCUCAGCAGUUCCCAGGUGGCAUUUUCAUGCACACUUCAAUACACAAAGUCCAGCAGCCAAAUAUAAUCUCACCUGGAUUACAGAGAGUUAAAUUUUGGACUUUAAUCUGAAAGAUUUAUUUUUAUUUCUAUUGAAUGUAUCUCUGGAGCUGACAAACUGACAUUUUAAUUUGUGCUCUCAUUAUUCUAAUUUAGCACUGGAAAGCUCCACUAUUCAUAAUAAUGAGACAGUUAUUAAA